ACGAACGCUGGCGGCGUGCUUAACACAUGCAAGUCGAACGGAAAGGCCCUGCUUUUGUGGGGUGCUCGAGUGGCGAACGGGUGAGUAACACGUGAGUAACCUGCCCUUGACUUUGGGUUAACUUCAGGAAACUGGGGCUAAUACCGGAUAGGAGCUCCUGCUGCAUGGUGGGGGUUGGAAAUUUUCGGCGGUUGGGGAUGGACUCGCGGCUUAUCAGCUUGUUGGUGGGGUAGUGGCUUACCAAGGCUUUGACGGGUAGCCGGCCUGAGAGGGUGACCGGCCACAUUGGGACUGAGAUACGGCCCAGACUCCUACGGGAGGCAGCAGUGGGGAAUAUUGCACAAUGGGCGGAAGCCUGAUGCAGCAACGCCGCGUGCGGGAUGACGGCCUUCGGGUUGUAAACCGCUUUCGCCUGUGACGAAGCGUGAGUGACGGUAAUGGGUAAAGAAGCACCGGCUAACUACGUG
rnacentral:rRNA from 1 species